rnacentral:lncRNA from 1 species
UGGUGUUAGACACUACUACAUUUCCUGUUUCCUGACAAAGCUUCUGCUAGAGAUGGCAGAAAAAAUGUUGCAGUGAAAAGUUGAUGGCUCUAAAAAGCUGAUUCACAGCAUUGUGCCCCUCUUAGUAUGAUUGUUGGUUAAGUUCAUUCAGUGUUCACUUCCUUCCUGAAUGAUGAAAACAAAACUAACACACAAAUGUAAGUAGGGAAGCACAAAUGGUGGUGACAGUGUCAAUGUUCAGCUCUCUGUACAGUUGGGUGACUUUACAAAAGAGUCCUGAGUCUGAAAAUUCUGAAACCUGUGGUAUAUUCCUCACACCAGAGCAUUCUCUAAGAAAAUUAAGCCAAGGGUUAAUUUCAUUCUUUCUUGCCCUUAAAAUAAAAAAUGAAGACUGAAGACCCCACCUGGUUCCCUAGGAGGCAGGACUGGCUUAAUUUUAUUAUCUGGUUCUUUCUUGUUCCUCUUUUGUGGAAGUCAAGUGAUUUAUUUCUUUCUCUAAGGCAGUAUCUGGGACCCUCUUUUAUGGUCUUUCUCUUUCUUCCUUCCUUCCUUCCUUCCUUCCUUCCUUCCUUCCUUCCUUCCUUUCUUUCUUUCUUUCUUUCUUUCUUUCUUUCUUUCUUUCUUUCUUUCUUUCUUUCUUUCUUUCUUGUCAUUGAGUUGGCAGCUGUUUCUAAUGAUGCCUUCUCACUUCUCGCAUUCCGUUCUUUUGCAGUUUAAAAGGCAGUAAUUUUCUAACCUUUUGGCUCAAUAUACUUCCAACCACCAAAUUAUUUUGCUUCCUUUAGUUGGGAACCACUUUGGUAGGGUGGAGGAUGCUGGGCCACUGUGCCUUUGGAAUGAGAAGCUUGGAGUUUGUAUCAGGAACAACAAAGUUUGGCAGAAUCUAUAGCUUUGGGUAGAGGCCCUUGGCCUCUAGAAAACUGUUAACAUUCCGUGCAUAACCUAGUCUUAAAACUCUGUAGUUCUGAUCUGUUCACAGCACGGAAAUCCUUUGGAGAUUUAGCUGAAGUUGGUGACAACAACAGGCUGCCAAAGGCAGGUUUUCCUUUCUGCCCAGCAGUCUUAUAUUUCCUAGACUUGCGAAGGGGUUUGUGUGUAGGGGUGUGGGGUGUGGGGUGUGGGGUGUGUGUGUGUGUGUGUGUGGGUAGGGGGUAGGGCAGUUACUUUCAAUAUUCAUCCUAGUGGGCUCUGCUAGGCUGAGCAAUGUAGUGGAGCUGCCAUCGCAGGAGGUUUCUGUUGCCACGGAGAUGACCUCUGACCCCGAAAGCAUGAGUGGCCCCUUUGCGGGUUGCCUUGGUUGCUAUGGCAACUGCAGUAUCCAGGAUCUUGGCGCUGGAGCAACUUGGGAGCAAGGGCUAGGGAACAGCUACUCUGCCCUCUUCUUUCUAGGAUGGGAGCAUGGUUGUUAUGUGGAGCCCAGACUGCCCUAUCGAAGAUCCAAGGAAAUAAGUAACAAGUCAAAAACUUUGACAGAUUUGUAAGUAAAAAUCAAAACACUUCUGGAAAUAAUUAUAUAGGAUAAUGAGUUCAUUUUUCUUGACUUUUUUUUUUGAAAAUCUUAGGGAUGGAAAAAUGAUUUAUAAUGUAGUCAAGUGUUUUUUAUGAUUAUAUAUAAAGUUUUGUUAAUAGUAGGCAUUUUUGCACAUAUUUUGGCUGGUAUGAGAAGCCAAGUAGUACAAUUAAAAGCCAGGUUUUCAGAUGGAUUGUUCCAAAUUGGCAGGAAAGGAAAAGGAAGUGAAAAACCUUGUUGGGUUUAUAUAUGUAGUGUACUUUUGCUUCCCAGAUGCAAAUGAAAGUGCUUGUAAUUAAAACGUCUUCCCCCUCUGUAACAUUUUGUUGUCUGAGCAAUUACAGUGGAUCACUGAAGUGAGCCAUAACCUUUUCUACAAAGCUGUCUCUUAAAUAGAGUGUAGCUUAGGAGGAUUCACCAUCUCUCUUCUUCACAUUUUCUAUAUGAAAUAUAGUACCGAACUGUACCUGAAAAGCAAAAAUAAAAGGGUCUAAAGACC